rnacentral:rRNA from 1 species
CUUGGUCAUUUAGAGGAGUAAAAGUCGUAACAAGGUUUCCGUAGGUGAACCUGCGGAAGGAUCAUUACAGUGAAAAGCUGUAGACUUGGUGUCUUGGAUAAAACCGUGGAGAUGGAAGUUUAGCCUAUUUAUAGGAUUAGCUGCUCCGUCCCAUGUGGCCUGUAAAAGGGAAUCCUGCACCGCCCACCCUUGUUAAUUAAAUUUUAACGUUACCUUGGUAGGCCAGCCUACCAGUGGACAAACAAAAUUCUUUUAAACAACGCUGUAAUUAGUUUAUUUUCUGAUAAAUCUUUAAAAUUUAAAACUUUCAACAACGGAUCUCUUGGUUCUGGCAUCGAUGAAGAACGCAGCGAAAUGCGAUAAGUAGUGUGAAUUGCAGAAUUCAGUGAAUCAUCGAAUCUUUGAACGCACAUUGCGCCCCUCGGUAUCCCGGGGGGCAUGCCUGUUCGAGCGUCAUUUCUACCAUUCAAGCUUUGCUUGGUUUUGGGUAUUGUAGCACUCUUAACCUGGAGUUUUACAUAUCUUAAAUGUAGACGGCAGCAAGUAUAUUAGUUCUGAGCGUAGCAGUAAUAAAUUUCGCUUUCAGAAACUAUAUUUGUUAACCGGAAAAGUAUAUUUACAGUUUGACCUCGGAUCAGGCAGGGAUACCCGCUGAACUUAAGCAUAUCAAUAAGCGGGAGGAA